AGAUGUAAUAUCAUGAAGAUGUUAUCUAAGCCGCUCCCUUAAUUGUUUGCAGGUGAUACCAAUGUAUGCCUGCUGCACACCAUCUUGCGUGUUAAUUAACGAGAUCUUGUACACUCCUGUCCUUUCAAGCAUGGGGUGGAUCUCUAUCAUUCCUAAUUACACUGAAAACGGAGUUAUUACGGGCAACAGGUAUUUUGACAUUGUAAAGCUUACCAAUUUUUCUCCUAACCUUAUCCGACAUAACAUGCUGAGGAAGGGAACUUUUAAAAAUGUCCACCUUGGCCGUUUUAUUGUUUCUUGUCGAU
rnacentral:lncRNA from 1 species